UAACUGUUCUGUUCCAAAAAAAUGGUGUGUUUAUAAAUAAAUAACAUAACCUGCUUCACAUCGUUUUCUUCCAGUGGGAGGCUGCCCUGCAGACCUUGGGAUUUUCCUGUUCCUAGUCAACAGAGAAACAAAUUCACUUCAGUCUCCCUAAGCUGCCGUUAUGGCUUUCUGUGAAAGCCUGUGAAAAUAAAAAUAUCACAGACAAAAAUAACGCUCCCUCAUUCUAAGUGUGGAGUGUCUCAGUGCAUAUUUGGCACAUCCUCUGAGGCUGCAUCAACAACAGGCAGAAACAAGCUGCUGUAAAGGGCGAAUCAUAGAGACAAAUAGCGCUUGGUGUCUUGUCCUGUGUCUGCCAGGACUUCUGAGAUGAAUCAUAGAAUCGUUACGACUGGAAAAGACCACUAAGAUCAUCUAAUCCAACCACAAACACAUUCCCUCCAUGACCACAAACUCUGUCCCUCAGUGCCACACCUGCUCUGUUCUGAGAUAUAUUCCAAGGGCUCCUAAGUUACAAGUUCUGAGCAGACCAUCGCACAGCACACCUUUCAGGCUGUGUGCUUUGCUAUAUGGUGUAUGCCUUCACAAGAGCCUUCCACAAGCUGUGCAGAGCAGUGACACCUUUAACCAACGCAAAGGCAGCCCGAGCUCCGUGGGAUGGAACCAGCAGCAUUUAGACGGCUGCAAGUGAUGCACACCACCACGACAAACGUUUCUUUCCCCGAGGCACCAGAUGGCAGCAUUUUUCCUUUCUCCAAAGUGUGAUCUCUUCCUCUCAGAUUCACUUUCUGGGACCACCGCAUCAGGCUAUGAGACUGUGGAGGCCACAAAGGCUUCAGCUGGACUAGACCUUCUCCAUCAUCACCCGUUUUGUGGGAAUUCUUCAGUCACACAGCCCUAAGCCCUCCUUUUUCCCCUCCCUCCCGUGUCUUUGCUUAUAAAUCCAGUGCUGCUUUAUCAUUGCUUUUUGUCACAGGAAAAAAAAAUCAUCCACGUCAGCUGCAACAAGCUCAGUUCCCAAGUCACUCACCUUUGAGCUGCAGCACUAUGGGACAAAUGUGCGUUUGUGUGAGUUGCAUGACUAGAGCUUCAGCAGGCAGCAGAAGAAAGGCUGUUUAUCCACAAAAGGGAUGGGAUGGCCCCCGGGGCUGAGGGAGGAGCAGCCCUGGCUUUUUUUUUUUUCCCCCCCUUCUCUGUUACUCUGUGGGGUUGUGGUGUAUCUGCUGUGGUUAGUUGCUCUGUCACUGCUUUACAGCUGCUAUGAGCUCACCAGUGGACAAUUUGUGGGUUCUUUAACUUCUGACGAGCAGCCAGUUGUUUUUCUAGAGAAUGUGUGACAAGGGAUUUUCUAAUUUUUCAGCUUUCGGCCAAAUUCAAUGGGAGUGCCAUAGGACAGGGAAGCAGUGGUGGACCCUCCUCAACUCCACCCUUUCUCUUCUUACUUAAUACCAAAAAAUUAUCUAUAAACAGGCAAGACGGAGGGAAGAGCAUUCCUCAAAGAGAGCCAUAAGAAUCCUGUACAAUGACAAUGUUAAACUGAGAUUUUUGGAAAAUGGUGCUAUUUUAUUCGGUUAAAAAUAUUCUAAUGAAAAAAAGCCCUCAAUGUUAUUUCACUUUCUCAUGCCAAUUUCUUCCAGUUUUGGAUUUGUCUACUCAUUGGUUACAGCUAAUUUAUGCAGACAAGAUGGACUCAGCUUUACUGCCUGAGCUAUGCAAAAUAUGUGCAAUAGAAAUAUGUUGGAAAUUCACCUGAAAGCUGAGUGGAAUUUCAUCACUUCAAGUCAAUUGUACAGGUACCAUCUUCCUUUUAAAUAAAGAAGAAAAAUAAUUUUAAAUAUAUCUCCACAGUAUAUAAUGAUCAAUGCAAUUCCUUAUGUGCACUUGCUUUGCAAAAUGGAAAAAAAAAAACAAAAACUUUUUAAUCUAAUUAUAGCUCUGUAGCUACUAACUAGCACCUUCUCUGAGAAACAGUUGCCCAUGAUGAGCUUUGCAAGAAGAGAGAUGUUGAGAUGGUUUAAAAAAAAAAAAAAAAGCAUCUGAUAUCUAUCAGUAUGGAUUAUUACAGCUUGCCAUUAUUUAUUUUGGAAUUGUGACAACUGACCAAAACAUAGGGACUAUGAAUAGGAACGCAAGGAGUGAUUAAGUGCACAAGAAGAGAGGAAAAAAAAAAAAAAGCAAUAUUAUUUGGCACGCAGCAAAUGUUAUAUCUGGUGUACAGCUGUCUGUGCAACUCCCACUGCUCUUUCGGAGGAUUUCUGUGAUUUCCCACUAAGGUACCUCUGCUGAUAGAGACUUAGGAACAGCUCCAUCUCUAUAAGCUUUGAUUCUUAGCAAGCUGGUAAGAUAGAUGUGUUAAUCCUUUACAUAUGAAAGAUGCAAGUGUCCUCCUACACAUACAUUACAGAGAGAAGCUUUGUUUGUUUUAUGAUGGGUAACUGCUAUGUACCGUUCGCUGUCUCUAUCUUGCAUAGUAAGUGAAAUUACUGUUGAAACAAGCUGAUUAAAUCUGAGAUUCCCCUUG